AAGGAAGAGGUCAAAGCGGGAUCUGUUAAACCAGGGGAGCUGAAACUAUGGAUCAAGACCUUCCUGAGGAUGGCCAAGCAACUGGAAGAGAGACGAAGUUUGCAUGGGGAAAGUCGGAAAGCUUGUCAAAACUUAAUCUAAGAUUCGUUACAGGAUCCAAUCUGGAUUGGUCACUGGGACCAAAGGUGGUUUCUUUCAAGCUUCGGGGCUUGUGCUGGAUCCCAUCUUCAGGGAACUUCUCUCUUUCCAGGAAUAUGUGCACUGGGCUGUCCUAUAGGAGAUGGAGGCCAUAGGUGUUGACUCACCUGAACAUUGAGUUCGUUGUGCCUUUCAGAGACAUCCACUAAUUCUUGCUCGAUGAGUUUGCGAGAGCGUUCGCUGCCCUCCAGGCCGGUGCGCACCUCGUCCAACUCCGUCUGGAGAAGACUGAGCCGGCGUUCUUGAAGAUUGUACUGUUCCCUCAGCUCUUCGUGUUUGCGCGCAUCUUCGUCCA